rnacentral:rRNA from 1 species
AUUGAACGCUGGCGGCAUGCUUUACACAUGCAAGUCGAGCGGCAGCGCGGGGGCAACCCUGGCGGCGAGCGGCGAACGGGUGAGGAAUACAUCGGAACGUACCCCGGAGUGGGGGAUAACGCCGCGAAAGCGGCGCUAAUACCGCAUAUGCUCUGAGGAGGAAAGUGGGGGACCGCAAGGCCUCACGCUCUGGGAGCGGCCGAUGUCCGAUUAGCUAGUUGGUGGGGUAAAGGCCCACCAAGGCGACGAUCGGUAGCUGGUCUGAGAGGAUGAUCAGCCACACUGGGACUGAGACACGGCCCAGACUCCUACGGGAGGCAGCAGUGGGGAAUUUUGGACAAUGGGGGCAACCCUGAUCUAGCCAUGCCGCGUGAGUGAUGAAGGCCUUAGGGUCGUAAAGCUCUUUCGCCGGGGAAGAUAAUGACGGUACCCGGUAAAGAAACCCCGGCUAACUCCGUGCCAGCAGCCGCGG